GUUAGCCAAAACAAUAAAAUAUGUAAUUAGCCAUGGCCUCAUGUCCUAGGAAAUUUUUAAUAAAAGAACUUAUCAAUGUGCCUCCUCCGGUUAAUGUUUGGUUACAAGGCACAAUAGAGCAGACUGUAGGAACUAAUAUUUUAAUAAUAUCGGAUAAGACUGGACGCGCGAAAAUAACCAAAUGUGACACAGCUGACGGCGUUAUUGAUAAGAGUUCUUUACGAAUAGGAACAUAUUGCUGCAUAAUAGGUACUUCAAUAAGAACAAAAGGUCUCCCUGAAGUCCACGCUAGCAAAUUUAUUGAUCUCACCUCACAAUCAGAAAUGAAGAAUGCUUGGGAGUUAGAAGUUAAAGAGGCAAACUUGGUUCUAGGAGGAAAUUACAAGCCAAGUUUAUAAAAAAAUAUUUUCUGUCUUCAUAUUAUAUUAAAACUUCCAAUCAAUUUUUUCAUACAAAAUUUUUUCCUCAACCCUUCUUUUAAGAAGCAGUCUUCAUAGAAUGUAAAUAAAAGUUUUAAAUUGUU